UACAUAAUAUAAAAGCGUCUUUGGGUUUAGUUCUUGCAUUGUUAUAUCUACUAGGUGUGCGAAAACGUACGUUAUGUCAAAUGAUAUGGAUCUUUUAUUUAGUAUUCUGUUUUUAGGGUUCCCUACCAAAAUGGUAAAAGUGAAACCCUUUUUUAUCUAAUAUCACCAUACCAAACAACAAAUGCACUGAACACUUGCAUGGAUAAGAAAAGAAGGAGCUGGCAUACAAAACACUGCAGUUACACUUCUGGCCAAAAAAAUAAUUUUUCAGGACGUUUUUGACUCAGUGAAUAAAAAUCUGAACUCAUUUCCAAGCAAGACAUCUUAAAAUGUGCUAAACUUGAGUCCAAAGUUCGUGAUAUUGACUACCUACUGAAUAAAAAUCUGAUUGCGUUCAAAACGGUACAAUUUCAAUGAUGAUGGUCUCAAAUCAGUCAUAUAUAAAUAUUAAACUUUAUGCCAUGCAAGUGUAUAGGUACAUCACUAAAUACAACACUAAUAAAGAAUAUUUAUCCUAUCUAAUAUAUAACUAUAACAAAUGAUUAAAUUUAAUACUAAAUACAAUUUUUCGAAGAAUGAAAUGGAUUAAAGGAGGGAUUUUUCAUUUUAUACUAAAUUCUUACGAAUUUCGUAUCAAUUUUAAAUUUUCGAAAAAAUGUUAACAACCAAUCAGAGACAAAAUUAUAAAACUAAAUCCGCUAAAAAAAAAACUAAGUCGGAGUACCUACCUCCUAACAGCUC